rnacentral:rRNA from 1 species
UGCAGUCGAACGAGUUCUGAUUAUUGAAAGGUGCUUGCAUCUUGAUUUAAUUUUGAACGAGUGGCGGACGGGUGAGUAACACGUGGGUAACCUGCCCUUAAGUGGGGGAUAACAUUUGGAAACAGAUGCUAAUACCGCAUAAAUCCAAGAACCGCAUGGUUCUUGGCUGAAAGAUGGCGUAAGCUAUCGCUUUUGGAUGGACCCGCGGCGUAUUAGCUAGUUGGUGAGGUAACGGCUCACCAAGGCAAUGAUACGUAGCCGAACUGAGAGGUUGAUCGGCCACAUUGGGACUGAGACACGGCCCAAACUCCUACGGGAGGCAGCAGUAGGGAAUCUUCCACAAUGGACGCAAGUCUGAUGGAGCAACGCCGCGUGAGUGAAGAAGGCUUUCGGGUCGUAAAACUCUGUUGUUGGAGAAGAAUGGUCGGCAGAGUAACUGUUGUCGGCGUGACGGUAUCCAACCAGAAAGCCACGGCUAACUACGUGCCAGCAGCCGCGGUAAUACGUAGGUGGCAAGCGUUAUCCGGAUUUAUUGGGCGUAAAGCGAGCGCAGGCGGUUUUUUAAGUCUGAUGUGAAAGCCCUCGGCUUAACCGAGGAAGUGCAUCGGAAACUGGGAAACUUGAGUGCAGAAGAGGACAGUGGAACUCCAUGUGUAGCGGUGAAAUGCGUAGAUAUAUGGAAGAACACCAGUGGCGAAGGCGGCUGUCUGGUCUGUAACUGACGCUGAGGCUCGAAAGCAUGGGUAGCGAACAGGAUUAGAUACCCUGGUAGUCCAUGCCGUAAACGAUGAAUGCUAGGUGUUGGAGGGUUUCCGCCCUUCAGUGCCGCAGCUAACGCAUUAAGCAUUCCGCCUGGGGAGUACGACCGCAAGGUUGAAACUCAAAGGAAUUGACGGGGGCCCGCACAAGCGGUGGAGCAUGUGGUUUAAUUCGAAGCAACGCGAAGAACCUUACCAGGUCUUGACAUCUUUUGAUCACCUGAGAGAUCAGGUUUCCCCUUCGGGGGCAAAAUGACAGGUGGUGCAUGGUUGUCGUCAGCUCGUGUCGUGAGAUGUUGGGUUAAGUCCCGCAACGAGCGCAACCCUUAUGACUAGUUGCCAGCAUUUAGUUGGGCACUCUAGUAAGACUGCCGGUGACAAACCGGAGGAAGGUGGGGAUGACGUCAAAUCAUCAUGCCCCUUAUGACCUGGGCUACACACGUGCUACAAUGGAUGGUACAACGAGUUGCGAGACCGCGAGGUCAAGCUAAUCUCUUAAAGCCAUUCUCAGUUCGGACUGUAGGCUGCAACUCGCCUACACGAAGUCGGAAUCGCUAGUAAUCGCGGAUCAGCACGCCGCGGUGAAUACGUUCCCGGGCCUUGUACACACCGCCCGUCACACCAUGAGAGUUUGUAACACCCGAAGCCGGUGGCGUAACCCUUUUAGGGAGCGAGC